UACGUUCCCGGACCUUGUACACACCGCCCGUCAAGCGAUGGAAGCCGGGAGGACCUGAAGACAGUUGCUGUAAGGCGCUGUUUAGGGUAAAACCGGUGACUGGCNCU
rnacentral:rRNA from 1 species